CACGCAACAAUGCGAUCAGUCGGUGUAGGCUUGUCCCACGGAAAUAUGUGCGCACCUCGGGAAAUGUGUGCGCACCUCGGGAAAUAUGUUGCCUGUGAGACCCUUUUCGCCAUGGAAGGACGUGGUGUUAGGUGAUGCCCUGAGGGCUGAGCCUGUUCGUCGGAAGUGCGUUGUGGGAGGAUUUGGCAGUCGGAUAAAUUUUGACCCUU
rnacentral:lncRNA from 1 species